GGCGGACGGGUUAGUAACGCGUGGGAACGUGCCCUUCACUGCGGAAUAGCCACUGGAAACGGUGAGUAAUACCGCAUACGCCCUUCGGGGGAAAGAUUUAUCGGUGAAGGAUCGGCCCGCGUUAGAUUAGAUAGUUGGUGGGGUAACGGCCUACCAAGUCUACGAUCUAUAGCUGGUUUUAGAGGAUGAUCAGCAACACUGGGACUGAGACACGGCCCAGACUCCUACGGGAGGCAGCAGUGGGGAAUCUUGGACAAUGGGCGCAAGCCUGAUCCAGCCAUGCCGCGUGAGUGAUGAAGGCCUUAGGGUCGUAAAGCUCUUUCGCCAGAGAUGAUAAUGACAGUAUCUGGUAAAGAAACCCCGGCUAACUCCGUGCCAGCAGCCGCGGUAAUACGGAGGGGGUUAGCGUUGUUCGGAAUUACUGGGCGUAAAGCGCACGUAGGCGGAUCAGAAAGUUGGGGGUGAAAUCCCGGGGCUCAACCCCGGAACUGCCUCCAAAACUCCUGGUCUUGAGUUCGAGAGAGGUGAGUGGAAUUCCGAGUGUAGAGGUGAAAUUCGUAGAUAUUCGGAGGAACACCAGUGGCGAAGGCGGCUCACUGG
rnacentral:rRNA from 1 species